AAAGGAAUAGACGGGCACCCGCACAAGCGGUGGAGCAUGCUGUUUAAUUCGAAGAUACGCGAAGAACCUUACCUAGACUUGACAUCCCGGGCAAAGCUAUAGAAAUAUAGCAGAGGUUACCCCGGUGACAGGUGGUGCAUGGUUGUCGUCAGCUCGUGUCGUGAGAUGUUCGGUUAAGUCCGAUAACGAGCGCAACCCUUAUCUUUAGUUGCUAACAUUAAGUUGAGAACUCUAAAGAUACUGCCGGUGACAAACCGGAGGAAGGUGGGGAUGACGUCAAAUCAUCAUGCCCCUUACGUCUAGGGCUACAGGCGUGCUACAAUGGCCGACACAAAGAGACGCAAAACCGCGAGGUGGAGCAAAUCUCCAAAAUCGGUCCCAGUUCGGAUUGGAGUCUGCAACUCGACUCCAUGAAGUUGGAAUCGCUAGUAAUCCUGAAUCAGAAUGUCAGGGUGAAUACGUUCCCGGGUGUUGUACACACCGCCCGU
rnacentral:rRNA from 1 species